rnacentral:lncRNA from 1 species
AUGGGAUUGAGAUUAUUUCACAUCGUGACAUCUAUAAUACUGAGGAUGGGACUACCUCCAUCGUGGGUCAGACUGCUGCUUUCAUUAUUGACAAUUCUACUGCCCUUGAGAAUGUUUACCGGCUUAAUGUUGGAGGCAAUGUGAUCUCACCAUCAGCUGAUACUGGUAUGUUUAGGUCAUGGAGUGACGACUCACAGUAUAUCUUUGGAGCAGCCAACGGGGUUACAGAUACUGCAGAUGAUGAAAAUGUCACAGUAAGCUAUCCUGAAGGAACGCCAUCUGACAUUGCCCCGCUUGAUGUCUAUAAGACAGCCAGGUCAAUGGGUCCAACUGCUCAGAUUAACCUGCAAUUCAAUUUGACUUGGGUUUUUUCAGUUGAUUCUGGAUUCUCUUAUCUUGUUAGGCUCCAUUUCUGUGAAAUCACUAUGAAUAUCACAAAAGUCAACCAAAGAGUGUUUGCCAUCUAUAUGAAUAAUCAGACUGCGGAACCUGCAGCAGAUGUCAUUGCUUGGGCUGGAAGCAAUGGGGUUCCUUUCCACAAGGAUUACGUGGUCUCUGUCCGUUCUGGGGCUCCACAGCAGGAUCUUUGGCUUGCCCUCCAUCCAAACGUUGCUUCAAAAUCCAAUUGGUAUGAUGCAAUUUUGAAUGGAGUAGAGAUUUUUAAAGUGAACGACACCAACGGAAACACAGCAGGAUCUUUGGCUUGCCCUCCAUCCCAAUGUUGCUUCAAAAUCCAAUUGGUAUGAUGCAAUUUUGAAUGGAGUAGAGAUUUUUAAAGUGAAUGACACCAACGGAAACCUCGCAGGGCGUAAUCCUAUUCCGGUGCCAGAACCAGAUCAUAUUGACCCUCUGCUGUCCAAAAAAGGUCAAUCAAAAAGUAAUAAAUCAGCUAUUAGUGGAGGUGUUGGAGGUGGAAUUGCUGCCGUAAUUCUUAUCGGUUUGGUUGUAUGCCUUGUCACCCGCCGCCGGAAACAUGGGAAGGUCCAAAGUCCAAGUGAUGGACCCUCAGGCUGGCUCCCUCUAUCUUUAUAUGGAAAUUCACAUACUUCUGGUUCUGCUAAGACAAACACUACAGGCAGUUAUGCUUCCUCCCUCCCAUCAAACCUUUGUCGUCACUUUUCAUUUGCUGAGAUCAAGGCAGCCACUAAUAACUUUGAUGAAUCUCUGCUUCUUGGGGUGGGUGGUUUUGGCAAAGUAUACAAGGGAGAAAUUGAUGGUGGCACAAAAGUUGCUAUCAAACGUGGGAAUCCUCUCUCUGAGCAAGGUGUUCAUGAAUUUCAAACUGAAAUUGAAAUGCUCUCUAAACUUCGCCAUCGGCACAUCAAACGUGGAAAUCCUCUCUCUGAGCAAGGUGUUCAUGAAUUUCAAACUGAAAUUGAAAUGCUCUCUAAACUUCGGCAUCGGCACCUUGUUUCUUUGAUUGGUUAUUGCGAGGAGAACUGUGAGAUGAUCCUUGUAUAUGACUACAUGGCUCAUGGUACCCUUCGUGAGCAUCUCUACAAGACCCAGAAGCCUCCUUUACCUUGGAAGCAGAGGCUUGAUAUUGGCAUUGGUGCUGCUCGUGGAUUACACUAUCUUCAUACUGGUGCCAAGCAUAAUAUUAUCCACCGUGAUGUGAAGACCACUAAUAUCCUCUUGGAUGAGAAGUGGGUGGCAAAGGUUUCUGAUUUCGGGUUGUCUAAGACAGGUCCUACAUUGGAUCACACCCAUGUCAGCACCGUGGUGAAGGGCAGUUUUGGAUAUCUGGAUCCAGAAUACUUCAGAAGGCAGCAACUCACAGACAAAUCUGAUGUCUACUCAUUUGGUGUAGUGCUGUUUGAGCUUUUGUGUGCUCGGCCAGCAUUGAACCCAACUCUUCCCAAGGAGCAAGUGAGCUUAGCUGAGUGGGCAUUCCAUUGCUACAAGAAAGGCACUUUUGACCAGAUAAUUGAUCCAUAUCUGAAAGGGAAGAUUGCACCAGAAUGCUUGAAGAAAUUUACAGAGACAGCAGUGAAGUGUGUGUCUGAUGUUGGGGUCGAUAGGCCCUCAAUGGGAGAUGUGCUUUGGAACCUUGAAUUUGCUCUGCAACUUCAGGAGAGUGCAGAAGAAUGUGGAAAAGGUUUUGGAAAGAUGGACAUUGAAGAAGGCUUUGAUGUCACAUGCAAAGGAAAGAAGGAUUUAAAUGAAUCCGCAGGUUUUGAUGCGAGCAUGACUGAUUCAAGAAGCAGUGGCAUAUCCAUGAGCAUUGGUGGCCGCAGCCUUGCCAGUGAUGAUUCAGACGGGUUAACACCUAGUGCUGUUUUCUCUCAAAUCAUGAAUCCAAAAGGACGCUAAGAUCUCACAUCUUUGUCGACAGGCCUUCAAUGGGGGAUGUGCUUUGGAACCUUGAAUUCGCUCUGCAACUUCAGGAGAGUGCAGAAGAAUGUGGCAAAGGUUUUGGAAAGAUGGACAUUGAAGAAGGCUUUGAUGUCACAUGCAAAGGAAAGAAGGAUUUAAAUGAAUCUGCAGGUUUUGAUGCGAGCAUGACUGAUUC